CACGAAUGCUGGACUUCCGUCACUGUCAGAACAGCAGCAAAACAGUGUGCCUGGCUGUGUGUGCUCGAAGGAACGAGGAUCAGGCCUCGUCUCUGAAUGUGUAGCCCCACGCUCCUUGAAGCACCUCUGCUCCAAAGGCCAUGCUGCUGCCUGCAUCCCUUUCCUCUAAUGAGAUGCUGAGGCUUUCCUCUGUUUGCACAAUCAGACCAUCAACCCUUCAUGAAAUCUAGCUGGAUGUGCCACAAAGUGACAAGACAUAAUAAACAUAAGGCCAUAUUGACUUUGAAGAAGAAAAAAUACAUUUCCUUCAGUUAGCAAAGGACAGACAAGAUAGCAAUGGCAACAGACAGGGAGACACGAUGCUGUAGCAACCCGGGACAGGGCUCUCUGCAGUGACUAACAGUGGAGGUUACACUGCUUGGCUACAUCCUCAAAACAGUGGAAAGCAAACAGUGAGAAAUAAAAGGGCUAAGCCAGCUACCUGAAUGAUGCUCCUAUUCAAAUGCUUGGCAGUUGACCUCUAAGAUCUUCUCUGUUGCUUUAGGCCCUUGGCUGGUUGUGCUCCUUUAUGCCAUAUGUGAAGUGGUGUUACCAGUAGAAGUGUUUUCAAAUAUUCAGUUAAGAAAAGAUUCCUUCUUACUGUGGCUGAAACUCCUUCAUUCUUGUCUAAUAGAAGUAUUUCAUACUUAUCUUCUUAAAAGUGCACUUUUUUUUCUCUUGUGUCUCCAAAAUCUCAAGAUUAUUUUUAAAUUCUCACUCUCUCCUCCAGUGCAUUAGCAGUCAGUCCUCAAAUGGUGCUGUCUGCAAGUUUAUUGUUUCUUCAUCUGAGAUGGUAAUGAAAUCAGUGCGCAGUUCCAGACCCAGAGAGGCCUCCAUCCAACCCUACUGCAUACCUCUGUACGAGCUUUGGGAGAACUAUCAAUAACCGCUUUUCAGACAUGGUUAUACAACAGACUUGACUGAUGAUGCCACGUAUCACACUCAGUGUCCCCGAUAACUUCAUCAGUGGCCAGAGGAGGUGAGCCCAAGAAACCAUGAGGACCCAUUUCCAACCUUCAGGGUCGUUCACCCUUCCUCCCAAUCUCCUCACACUUCUGCUGUUUACCACACAUCCUGCCAUCCCGCACAGCGUUGCCGGAGGCCUCGCAACAUCAGCAGCUACAGGCAGUGCCUCUCUGAGGAGUAGCUCCCACUGGAGAUCAACACAGAAGACCCUUACAGCACUGGGAAGAGGACCCCAGGUACUUCUCAGUCCCACAUGUCCAGGAGAGAACCUGGAGGUUCUGCAGAAGAGGCUAACAGUGGAGUAAGCUUUUACACUUUCACCCCAGGGAUCUUACUCUGAGACUUUGUGGUGAAACACAGAAAAGAACUUAAGCAAAAACAGACCAGACACUGCAGAUUCUGAAUGAGGAGGACAUAGUUCUGAAAUUUUUGCUUGUCUGCAAAGUGUACUAAAAAGCCACAGAAGCACAACUGAAACAAGGCCUCUAAAGGCAACACUAUAAAUCUGUACCCUUUGUUUGACCCAUGGCUCAGAGUUUAAGCAGCCUGGGGCUAGAAGUCUACAAUGUGCUUGUCCAAGUUUGAAGUAAUCAUAAGGGUGCAUUUGCCAUUUUUUCCAUGGCUGACUAAAAGGAUCCAAUAGAAAUUGUCCAUAUAUUUUUUAAAUUGCCUUAAAUUCUUUACCUGGUAAAAGCUAAGCUUUUACUCAUCAUCCCUCAGCUCAAAAAGGGAAGCAACAGAGAAAAAGCAAAGCCUAAGUUUGUGAUUUGUGUCCUUUAUGUAUUCCCCAAUCUCCUUUACUUGCCUAUUACGAAUAGCCUCCUAAAAGGCAUAAGUUUCAAUGAGGAAUUUGAGCAAAGGGAAGAGUGGCCUUAGUGACUCCUUAAGGCAAUCACUGCAACAAUCCUCUCAGAAGAGAAAAUAUACAUACAUUUAGCUGGAUUAAUAUUCUGGUGGCUAACACAGUGCUUUUAGAAUGACUUUUUAGGUGAAGAGUUGAUCAUCUUCUAACGUUCAAAGUGUCUUUUUAGUGCUAAAAGCAGCAUGCAAGGUAAAUAGUAUGACCUUGUAGGGCACACUCCAGUUACAGGAUGUGUUGCUGUGAAUGCAUGCAGUAUGAACUGCCACUUGAGCAAACUGUAUGGGCAAAAUCGUACGCUGAAGGCAUUUACCUGGGUGUAACCUCACAGCUGGAGCCACUGUGGACGUUGUUUUAUAGCCUGUAUUUCCAACAGAAUUAAUAAGAGUUCAAAACAAAACAGAACAAAUAUAUAUACACACACACAAUGUGUAUUUGCUAUCAAACUUGGGGUAACAAAAUGGCUUCUCUGGGCCAUACUGUGUGCAUAAUGGCAUAGUGGUAAUUCUUUCCUCAGUCUAUAAAUCAUUCUCUCUCCUGAUGAGGUGAUCGCUCAGAAUCAACCGUUUUCCAGUGACUCCAAUAAACAGAAGGGCAGCCCUCAUACCUGAGCGCACUCUUCGUGUGUGCUUCUGUGUGCUCCUCUUACAAUGGGUAAACACAUCCAGAUUAGCAUUAAGCUAGUUAGCAAGCGUAACAAGAAGUAGUGCUAUUUGCAAAUGACUACUGUGUGUGCUCAGGCUGCUUGUAGUCUAGUUGUUAGCCUGGGCUGUCAUAUCUUAUUAAAAUUAACACAGGUAGCUCAUAGUCAAUUCUGUCUUGAGCAAAUGUUUAUAUUCUGUGUAGACAUAUCCAGUUCAAAAGCCGAAAAAAGAAGUGGAACAAGUGUCUAUAAAGAAGCACUUUUCCUGCUCUUUUUUCUUUUUUGCAUAUUAGCAAACUAUGCUUCAUUUGUGGAAGGUCUUAUUAUAGGCUUACUUAGAAUAGACUGGCAUGCAAGGGGCUGAGUCAUAUUGGGUCUGAUCUCCCUUAUAAGGCAGCAAACCAGGAGUAGCUCUGCUGAGGUUCACUGGAAUAAAACUAGGCUAAGUGAAGUCAGAAUCAGCCUCACGAACUUGUGCAGCACUUCCUGCUCGUGAUACAUGAACUCCAGAGUUAGCCCUCACCUAUUUCAGCAUUAUCGCAGCGGCAAUCACAGUUCUUGCAAUUGGACAGGAGUCCAAAUCCUCACGGAGCACACUGCAGUACAAACCACACAGCCUGGGAAACAGGUUUGCAUGUAUGAUGUAUGAGAGUCAUUCGAACACUCUCAGUACUAGUACUCCAUAAUGUUAAUGGGACUAAAAGCGUAAGUACGGGGUACAAGAUAAUCCCUGACAUCAUUUUACUAAUGCCUUACACUCAUUUUUUCUGACCCUUCAGGCUGUCACCUAACUAAGUAUUAAAAAAUGCCAGGGGAUUCUUUGUGAUUUAGCUCUAAAAGCUGGUUCAUGAAUCUUGUGAUCUGACUAGCUUAAAAGGCCAAUUGUUCCCUGACAUGUAAGCAGUGCUAUAACAACAUAGAGCAGCAAAUCAUCUCAUCUUCAGACAAUCCCUAAGAAUUUGUUAUUGCUUAAUUGCUGUCAGUUGUGUUGGCAAAGACUGUACCAACUUCUUUUAAUGGUGUAUUCAUUUCCAAUCAUUUUUAUUGUAGCCCCUGCUGUUCAACUUCAUUAUUUUUAUCCUCUAUGGACCACGAAUCACUUUGCUGAAUCCAUUGUCUUUCCUUAAAAGCCAGUUUUCCUUGCUAAGUUGUUAAUUUUUUUGUUGUUGUUGUUGGCUUUGAUGUCUUUCUUCAGUUUCCCAGUGCAUCCUCAGAACUCCAUUUCAGGCUUUUAUUUCUGUUGAUGCCUGCUCUUUAAUUUACUACUACAUAUGCCAGCAAUUUACAACUCUCUGAUUUCUUUCAUUUGAAUUUUUCACGCGGUAAUAAGACAUUAAGUCAGUGUAGUGCUAUCAACCUAAGGCACAAAAAAAAAAAACCCAGUGAUUGUACCAAACAUCAUAGAAUCAUAGAGUCAGAGGAGUUGGAAGGGACCCUUAAAGGUUAUCUAGUCCAACUCCCCUGCAAUGAACAGCGACAUCCACAGUUGGAUCAUCUUCAGUUACUUUAUGAUUCUAAGUCUUCAUGGCAUUUUUUGUCUUCUAAUCUAAAGGUAGGGACAAAAGAUAUGCAAAUUGCUAACAAAAAUGAAAAUAAUUUUUAAGGAAAGCCCAGUGUAUUUGAGAACAAAUACACUCCCACGUAACUAGCAACAGGACUAGAGGGAAUGGCCUCGAGUUGCCCCAGGGGAGAUUCAGGCUGGACAUUAGGAAAAAUUUCUUCUCCAGAAGAGUGCUCAGGCACUGGAAUGGGCUGCCCAGAGAGGUGGUGGAAUCACUGACCCUGGAGGUGUUCAAGAGACAUUUGGAUGUUGUGCUGACGGACAUGGUUUAGUGGGAAAUAUUGGUGGUAGGUAGAUGGUUGAACUGGAUGAUUUUGGAGGCCUUUUCCAACCUUGGUGAUGCUAUGAUUCCAUGAUAAUUAAGUUUAGCAAUGAAGCUCAAACACUCACUUUUUCUAAAUUUCUAAAUUACUUUCUAAAUUUCAAGCCAAAAUGCCCAAGGCCAUUUGAAACUUGCUUUUGAGAACUAUUUGAAGGUGAACUGCUCUAUCAAGGUAAAAACCCCAGCACGACCAUGUGCAGCACUUGCACACAGCAAAGCCCAGCCUGAGCCAGAACCUUUGCCUCUGCUCAUCUCCCAUCACUGACUCAAAGCAAACAUUCCAUCCUUCAUAGAGGCUACAGAGCAGAGAAAAGCACAAGGGAGAAGGAGAAGAAAAGGGUAGAGGAAAGAGAAAGAAACAAAGACAGAAUUUUCCUGUGGCUUUUUAGGUCCCCCUCAGAAUAAGCAUCCCAUCAUUCCCAUUUAUCUCACUAUGGAGCACAAAAGCAUAACUUCCCCAUGCUUUGCAGUUAACCCCUAAGAUCUCACUCUACUGAAGUUAAACACCUGUGAAGUUCUGACAUACAGCAUUGUUCUGCUUGGGUCGCAGGGAACGGGCUUAUAUUUUAUGUAGGUGCAAUCUAUAAGGGCAGUGUUUUCUGUAUGUGGCUUAAAAAAAAAGAGAGAACGUAGCGUGUCUAAAUUCAAAAUGAGAAAACCUGAACUUAUUCCUAAAAGAAAAAUUGUCGGAUACCAUUCUCUCUGUUCAUAAAAUCAUCAUUUUUGCAUGAUUCUUUGUAAGUUCAAAGCACAGUUUCUUUUAGUAAAUGAGACAAGGGGGGAACAGUGAAAACAGUUUCCCUGAGGAAAACUAUUCCCUAGCUCUUAAAAAAGUUGGAACAUAUUGAAACCUUAGGGAGAUUAAAGCAUUUUCCAUUACAUUUCUGCUUUUCUUCUUUUUUCUUUUUCUUUUUUUUUUUCCUUUUUAAUUAUUUUUACAGAAUGUAGCAGAGAGAAAGUAGCAGACCAUUCAGAUUUGUAAAGCAGCUCUCGCUUUGGCUGACACCAGGCCCUUCCUUCUUAAUGUGCUUUGAAAGCCGUACCACCAUUUUCUGUGGUGUGGCAAGGUACUUCUUGCUGCCUCUGCACUGGGCUCUCAUUCAGCUGUUUCAGGGUUUUGUAAGUGUUUUGUGUCCAGUGGGACUAAGAGAAGAAUUCGGCGCGUAAAAGAGCUAAGAAGAGCAGUUUCGCUUACAUCUCAGAUUUUUAAAUGUAUUUCCAUCUGAAAUGCCUUGGAAAUCUUUAUACGUAGUGUUGGACUCACGCACACAAGCAGGAAGGGACCUCAAGAAAGCCCUCUAGUCAGUCCCACUGCCCACUGUAGGAUGGGCACAACCUCUGGCACUUCUCACAGACGCUUCUCCAGCUUCCUCUUAGAGAUCUCCAGAACUUACAGAGCUGCUUCCCAGGACUAUGCUGGUGCUUCACUGUCCAUGCUAUUAGACUUCUCCUCUGAUGCCCAAAAUGCACGUUGUACUUGCAUUAUCCUCCUCAACAGUUUUGUUUUGGUCUUACUUGGCAUGAAUACGGAGGUCAGACUAUUUCCUGUCCUGUCUCUGGCAGGCCUUGAUGUGUCUGACAAGAACACGUUUGAAGGCUGACAACCUGUCACUCUUCUCUCUUCAUUUCUGCACACAAAGGAACCUCAGUUCCUGCUGCCUUUCCUCAGAGCCUGUGCUCUCGUGAUUAUUUCUUGAGCUCUGACCGUUCUUUUUGCUUUCCUCAUGAAACUUUGCCACUAGUCCCCCUGCUCUGCUGGAAUGGGAUAUCCAGAAAUUGAUGCUGUAUGGAUGAGAAAAAGAGCCCGCCCUCCUCAGACCCUGCCUUAGCAACUCAGUAUGCAGUAUCAAUAUGGAAAAGCUUCAUUAGACAUAGUAGAACAAAUAGCACUUCAGAGUCUAUGAAGCUCAGCUUCAGGAAGUUGCAAUUUGGCCUCACUGUGUCAUUCGCAAGCAUUUAUAGGCAUUAAGGCUACUACCACAUACAGCAGAAUAAGUGGCUAUUCAUCCAUAGGGAAGGAAAGCUAUAGGUUCUGCUGGACGCAGAUCCCAGGUUUCUCUAUCUGCCACAUAGAGACCUCUACCACAGCAUCCCACCCCACUACUAAAGGUCAUUUGCCUUCCACACAAGUGAAAAAAAGAGGUGGACAAAAACUGAGAUGAGAGGGAGAAAGUGCUGACCUGCUGUAACUCGAUCAGCGCUGGUACAAAACGGUGCUUGGGCAGCAGGAUCCUAUCUUCAUUCUUUCCUGCUUAUUCAAAACACAAUCCAGCUCAUAGUCAAUAAGUAUAAAGUUUGCCGGAGACUAACUUGCAGUUUAUCUCCCGACAGACUGGUUAGUAGAUUCAACAGUAAGAAACCUUGCUAUUAGAGCUGCGUGCCAGCCCAGGGCUUCUCCUGUGUAGUAUUUAGGAUUCCGUUCAAGAUCAGUCCUCCCUUUGUCUGCUACCUUCAUAAAUAAUUGAUAUAUCUUGCAUAAGAGAUUAGCAAAGAUUGUUCAGCUUCCCUUUUCUUUUCUUUUCUUUUCUUUUCUUUUCUUUUCUUUUCUUUUCUUUUCUUUUCUUUUCUUUUCUUUUCUUUUGUGUGUGUGUGUGUGUGUAAGUGAGAUUUGGUAGCUUCUAAAAUAUUGAUACAGUUAUGCAAGCUGGUGCACCUAUUAUAUCUUUAAACAAGAAUUAAAAACAAAAAGAGAGAGAGAGAUUGAAGGAACAUGAUAGCAGAUCUAAAAAGCAGAUCUCUGGCAGUCAAAAACAUCAGAAAGGGUGAUCCUUCCAUUUUCAUGUCAAUGGGAAAAUAGUUGCACUACUAAUUUCUGUGAUAUUCUUUUCAGAAGGCUCUGAAGAUAUCGCUGUACUUUUCAAAGUAAUUACAGCAGGUUAUGAAAAGCCUUCAGGAACGGCUGCCAAGGUACUGCACCAUCAGAAAGGAAGAACACAGUGCUGGAAACUGUUCAAAUCUGAUGGAAAGUAGACAAAGGAAGACAAAUUUUCAGAGGUCUCUUUAUUCAUUUCACUGCUGUUACUUCGCAAUUAUAUCUUUUGUCUGAAAACACUUUCAUGCUUAGUUUUGGUAUUCCUUCUUGGGGAAAAAAAGGAAAAAAAAUCCAAAACACUGAUAAUACACCUCAUGCUUUGGCAGCAACCAGUUCUACCAACACUGAUGACUUCUGUCUUUUAUUUUGUGUGCAUGCUGCUGUUUUAACCAUCUAAGCAGUGGCACAGUACUUGCCCUUGUGGUUCUCUGUAUGUAACACAGUCCUAUUUCCAGCUCUCCGGCCCAUCCCUUCCACAUAUCCCACAGACAGGACUCUUAAGUGCCACUUAGUACAGGG
ensembl:lncRNA